rnacentral:rRNA from 1 species
GACGAACGCUGGCGGCGUGCUUAACACAUGCAAGUCGAGCGGUAAGGCCCUUUCGGGGGUACACGAGCGGCGAACGGGUGAGUAACACGUGGGUGACCUGCCCUCAGCUCUGGGAUAGGCCUGGGAAACCGGGUCUAAUACCGGAUAUGACUCCAUGACGCAUGUUGNGGGGUGGAAAGCCUUGUGCGGCUGAGGAUGGGCCCGCGGCCUAUCAGCUUGUUGGUGGGGUGAUGGCCUACCAAGGCGACGACGGGUAGCCGGCCUGAGAGGGCGACCGGCCACACUGGGACUGAGACACGGCCCAGACUCCUACGGGAGGCAGCAGUGGGGAAUCUUGCGCAAGUGGGCGAAAGCCUGACGCAGCGACGCCGCGUGAGGGAUGACGGCCU